UUUACAACAUAGUACACUGAGUUGAUCUCAUUACUUGACUUGACUUAAUUUCACAGACUUCUUGAUUUUUCACUGUAUUGUUUUGCGAUGUGGGUGUAUGGCUAAGCCUCUUCGUAUUCAUGGAAUAU